rnacentral:misc_RNA from 1 species
UUUCCGAAGGUGAACGUGCGGAAGGUUCAUCAUUGUAUAACGAAGGUUCGAGGGCUUCCGCUGACCAGAAAGGUCGUGCACGCCCGAUUGUCCUCACACACAUCCAUCGCACCCCUACUAGCACCACCCCGGGGGCCGCCCUAUGGCUUGGUCGGAGGGGGGCUUCCGUUUUUACUCAAACUAAGUAUGCAGUGGAGGAUGUAUUUUUUGUUUUUGGGAUUACGCAAGCAAAACAACUUUCAACAACGGAACUCUUGGCACUCGCAUCGAGGAAGAAGG